rnacentral:rRNA from 1 species
CCUACGGGAGGCAGCAGUGGGGAAUAUUGGACAAUGGGCGAAAGCCUGAUCCAGCAAUGCCGCGUGAGUGAUGAAGGCCUUAGGGUUGUAAAGCUCUUUUACCAGGGAUGAUAAUGACAGUACCUGGAGAAUAAGCUCCGGCUAACUCCGUGCCAGCAGCCGCGGUAAUACGGAGGGAGCUAGCGUUGUUCGGAAUUACUGGGCGUAAAGAGUACGUAGGCGGUGAUUCAAGUCAGAGGUGAAAGCCUGGAGCUCAACUCCAGAACUGCCUUUGAAACUAGAUCGCUAGAAUCAUGGAGAGGUUAGUGGAAUUCCGAGUGUAGAGGUGAAAUUCGUAGAUAUUCGGAAGAACACCAGUGGCGAAGGCGACUAACUGGACAUGUAUUGACGCUGAGGUACGAAAGCGUGGGGAGCAAACAGGAUUAGAUACCCUGGUAGUCCACGCCGUAAACGAUGAUAACUAGCUGUUCGGGGUCUACGAUCCUGAGUGGCGCAGCUAACGCAUUAAGUUAUCCGCCUGGGGAGUACGGUCGCAAGAUUAAACCUUAAAUGAAUUGACGG